GGGCCCGUAGCUCAGUUUGGUUAGAGCACCUGGCUCAUAACCAGGUGGUGGUGGGUUCAAAUCCCUCCGGGCCCA
rnacentral:tRNA from 1 species